AUUGAACGCUGGCGGAAUGCUUUACACAUGCAAGUCGAGCGGCAGCGCGGGGCAACCUGGCGGCGAGCGGCGAACGGGUGAGUAAUACAUCGGAACGUACCCAGUUGUGGGGGAUAGCCCGGCGAAAGCCGGAUUAAUACCGCAUACGACCUGAGGGUGAAAGUGGGGGAUCGCAAGACCUCUCACUAUUGGAGCGGCCGAUAUCGGAUUAGCUAGUUGGUGGGGUAAAGGCCCACCAAGGCGGCGAUCCGUAGCUGGUUUGAGAGGACGACCAACCACACUGGGACUGAGACACGGCCCAGACUCCUACGGGAGGCAGCAGUGGGGAAUUUCGGACAAUGGGGGCAACCCUGAUCCAGCCAUCCCGCGUGUGCGAUGAAGGCCUUCGGGUUGUAAAGCACUUUUGGCAGGAAAGAAAUCGCACGGGCUAAUACCUCGUGUGGAUGACGGUACCUGCAGAAUAAGCACCGGCUAACUACGUGCCAGCAGCCGCGGUAA
rnacentral:rRNA from 1 species